UACGUAGGGUCCAAGCGUUAAUCGGAAUUACUGGGCGUAAAGCGCACGUAGGCGGCUCUUUAAGUCGGAGGUGAAAUCCUGGAGCUCAACUCCAGAACUGCCUUCGAUACUGUAGAGCUUGAGUUCGGGAGAGGUGAGUGGAACUGCGAGUGUAGAGGUGAAAUUCGUAGAUAUUCGCAAGAACACCAGUGGCGAAGGCGGCUCACUGGCACGAUACUGACGCUGAGGUGCGAAAGCGUGGGGAGCAAACAGG
rnacentral:rRNA from 1 species